rnacentral:lncRNA from 1 species
UGACCUGCUAAUUAAACAGGUCGGGUUCAGGUCGACCUGUUUAGACCUGCUUUCUUAAACACAUUGUAAUGGGCCUGUUUAAACCUGCUAACUCAAAUGAUUUUCCUCCUGUUCCUCCUCCUCCUGCUGCUGCUGAGGAUGCUAAUAUACGUCGACCUGAGCAUGGACGAGGGCUAACUGAGAUUCUUUUACCCUGUUGACCCUGACCCUGACCCUCCAUCAAUUGAUAGGCAAUUUCUCACUCUUUCUCUCUCACGAUUUAUUUAUUAAUUUCCUUGAAAAUCAAAUAAACAACAACAUAACUUAUUAACAAUAAUAAAAUAUCGAAACAAGGGAAGAGAGUAGAGUAUUAUUAUAAUCGCUAAUCAUCAUCAUCAUCAUCAUCAUAAAACCCUAGAUCCAAACCAGAAGACAUAAUAAUCAUAAAUCAUAAUCAUAGCCUCCCUCUUCUCUUCUCUUCUCUUCUUUUACUAAAAAAUUGAUUCUUGCAAAACCCUAAUUAACCCCCCUCCCCCUUAUCUAAUCUAAUCUAAUCGGAGAAGAAACUAGAAAUUAUAAAGUGAAGGAUAGAUUUAGGGUUUAGAAAUUAGAACAAAAACAAUAGGGUGAGUAGAUUAGAUUUGCUCUUUCUUUUCUUCAAUCGGAACUAUCGAGAGGAUUCAAUUCAGUGAGUGGGUGUUGUGUGUGAGUUCUGAGUGUAGGGAGAGAGAGAGAGAGAGAGAGAGAGAGAGAGAGAGAGAGAGAGAGAGAGAGAGAGAGAGAGAGAGGAUA